GAUGAACGCUAGCUACAGGCUUAACACAUGCAAGUCGAGGGGUAACGAGAGGAAAGCUUGCUUUCCUUGUCGACGACCGGCGCACGGGUGAGUAACGCGUAUCCAACCUGCCCCCAACUAGGGAAUAACCUUGCGAAAGUAAGACUAAUACCCUAUAAUUUCCUCAGAUGUCAUCUGACGAGGAAUAAAGAUUUAUCGGUUGUGGAUGGGGAUGCGUCUGAUUAGCUUGUUGGCGGGGUAACGGCCCACCAAGGCAACAAUCAGUAGGGGUUCUGAGAGGAAGGUCCCCCACAUUGGAACUGAGACACGGUCCAAACGCCUACGGGAGGCAGCAGUGGGGAAUAUUGCACAAUGGGCGCAAGCCUGGUGCAGCCAUGCCGCGUGUAUGAAGAAGGCCUUCGGGUUGUAAAGUACUUUCAGCGGGGAGGAAGGCGGUGAAGUUAAUAGCUUCACCGAUUGACGUUACCCGCAGAAGAAGCACCGGCUAACUCCGUGCCAGCCGCCACGGUAA
rnacentral:rRNA from 1 species